rnacentral:pre_miRNA from 1 species
CAAAUACUCCCUCCGUCCGGAAAUACUUGUCAUCAAAAUGGAUAAAAGGAAAUGUAUCUAGACGUAUUUUAGUUUUAGAUACAUCUCUUUUUAUCCAUUUUGAUGACAAGUAUUUUAGGACGGAGGGAGUAGAAA